GUCUUGAGGUCUUUCUGAGUGUAGCCUUCAUUGAUUUGAGAUCUACCACACCAUUCUCUCACUAGAAGGGAAAACCUAUAAUGGCAGCAGGCCGUAAAAGAGACCCAGUUUGGGAAUAUUUUAAUGAAGUUCUUCUACCUGUGGGUAAGACAGGCAUGUGUGCAAAAUGCAAACAGUGCAACAAAGAAAUUUAAGGCCUUUUUGCCCAAAUGAAACAACGUCAUGAGAAGUGUUCCUUCUCAGGAGGAAGCUGCGUUGAAGAUGAUGAAAGGAACAUGUCUGAACAUGCAGGAUCUUCAGAUUAUGAACAAACAAGAAAAUGAAGGUGAAGACAACUGAGUUAGCUGCAGAAGCCAAUAUUUUAAGUUUCUCAUGUUGAUCUGGCUGACAUAAUUGAUUUAAUUUUUGUUUUUUUUUUUAAUAUUUCAUUUAACUAUUUUAGUUAAAAACAAUUUUAACAAAAACAAACCUGAUUUUAAAAAACUUGAACUAAAUUCAAAAAUUCAUAUGCUUGUUUUGUUAAAAUAUUAUAUGUUUGCUGUUGAAGAAAAAAAUCCAAAAUACAUAACGUUGUUGUUUUAGUUAAAUAAAACAAUUUAAAUG